UGCAGAGCAGCAGAGAGUGGGAUGGCGGCGGCGCCCUAGCUAGGUCACACUCCGUCCGGCGCAUCCAUCCGCUCCCCUCCGUCCUCCGUCCUCCGUCGCGCACACCGGCAUCGCCAUCCUCCGCUCUCCGUCGUCCGUCGCGUGCAUCAGCCUCGCCGUCCUCCGCCCUCCGUCGUACAUCGCACGCACCGGCGUUGCCGACUUCUGCCCUCCGACCUCCGCGUCGCUGACCUCCACCCUCCGUCGCGCGCACCGGCACACGCCUCCACGGAGCAGGACACGAGCCGCCGGAUGGUAAGGCACUUUCGAUUCGCUCUGGUAGAAGAGUUGUUCAGUAGCGAACACACACAUAGAUGUGAUGACUUGCAGUAGCAUCUUCCCGACUGCAGGUUCUUCUGGGCU
rnacentral:lncRNA from 1 species